rnacentral:rRNA from 1 species
UACGUAGGGCGCAAGCGUUGUCCGGAAUUAUUGGGCGUAAAGAGCUCGUAGGCGGCUUGUCACGUCGGGUGUGAAAGCCCGGGGCUUAACCCCGGGUCUGCAUUCGAUACGGGCUGGCUAGAGUGUGGUAGGGGAGAUCGGAAUUCCUGGUGUAGCGGUGGAAUGCGCAGAUAUCAGGAGGAACACCCGUAGCGAAGGCGGCACUCUGGGCCGGAACUGACGCUGAGGAGCGAAAGCGUGGGGAGCAAACGGG